AAACUCAAAGGAAUUGACGGGGCCCGCACAAGCGGAGGACAUGUGGUUUAAUUCGAUGAUACGCGAGGAACCUUACCUGGGCUUAAAUGUAGAGUGCAUUAGUGGGAAACCAUUAUUUUCUUCGGAACUCUUUGCAAGGUGCUGCAUGGUUGUCGUCAGCUCGUGCCGUGAGGUGUCGGGUUAAGUCCCAUAACGAGCGCAACCCUUAUCGUUAGUUGCCAGCGGGUAAUGCCGGGAACUCUAGCGAAACUGCCGGUGUAAACCGAGAGGAAGGUGGGAUGACGUCAAAUCAGCACGGCCCUUAUGUCCAGGGCUACACACGUGUUACAAUGGCCGGUACAGAGGGCAGCUACCUGGAGACAGGAUGCGAAUCUCGAAAGCCGGUCGCAGUUCGGAUCGGAGUCUGCAACUCGACUCCGUGAAGCUGGAUUCGCUAGUAAUCGCGCAUCAGCCAUGGCGCGGUGAAUACGUUCCCGGGCCUU
rnacentral:rRNA from 1 species